rnacentral:rRNA from 1 species
UACGGGGGGGCAAGCGUUGUCCGGAAUCAUUGGGCGUAAAGGGCGCGUAGGUGGCGCGGUAAGCGUGCGGUGAAAGCUCGGGGCUCAACCCCGAGUCGGCCGUGCGAACUGCUGGGCUUGAGCACUGUAGAGGCAGGCGGAAUUCCGGGUGUAGCGGUGGAAUGCGUAGAGAUCCGGAAGAACACCGGUGGCGAAGGCGGCCUGCUGGGCAGUAGCUGACACUGAGGCGCGACAGCGUGGGGAGCAAACAGGG